GGCGGCCCUCCGAGCCUGCUCUUUUCGGCCCUGAGGAGGGAAGAGGAACUAGAACAGGAGCCCAGAAAGGCUUCGAGCCAGAGCCGGCGGUUGAUUGUGGAAGCUCAUAUUAAGAUGGAGCCUGCAUCAAGAAAAAGAAAUAAAAGGCAUCCAAAUUGGAAAGGAAGAAGCAAAACUGUCAUUGUUUGCAGAUGACAUGAUAGUGUAUGUAGAAAUCCUAUAGAAUCCAUCAAAAAACACUCAACCUAAUAAGUGAAUUUGGCAAAACAGUGGGAUACAAAUUCAGUAUUCAAAAAUCAAAGGCAUUUUUGUAUACCAACAAUGAAAUAUCAGAAAAAGAAAUCAGGAAAAAUAUCUCAUUUGAUAUAGCAACAAGAAAAAUAAAGUACCUAGGAGUAAACCUAAUCAAGGAGGUAAAAGACCUAUACUCAGAAAACUAUACAACACUGAAGAAAGAAGUUAUAGAAGACACAAACAAAUGGAAGCAUGUACCAUGUUCAUGGAUUGGAAGAAUUAACAUCAUCAAAAUGUCCAUACUACUUAAAGCAAUUUACAGUUCAAUGCAAUCCCUAUUAAAAUACCCGUAACAUAUUUCACAGAUAUAGAAAAAACAUUUAAAAAAUUUAUAUGGAACCAUAAAGGACCCUGAAUAGCCAAAGCAAUUUUGAGAAAGAAGAACAAAGUAGGAGGGACCACAAGACCUGAUAUCAAACUGUAUUAUAAGUCCACUGUAAUCAAAACAACCUGGUACUGACAUAAGAACAGACAUAUAGGUUAAUGAAACAGAAUACAGAGCCCAGAAAUAAACCCAAGUCUCUAUGGUCAAAUUAAUAUUCAACAAAGGGGGCAGCAAUAUAAAAUGGACUAAAGAUAGCCUCUUCAACAAAUGGUGUUGGGUGAUCUGGACAGCUACAUGCAAAAAAAGAAGAAACUGGAUCACCAGCUUACACCAUACACAAAAAUAAAUUCAAAGUGGAUAAGCCAUGGCUGGUGUGGCUCAGUGGAUUGAACAUGGGACUGCCAACCAAAAGGUCACUGCUUCCAUUUCCAGUCAGGGCACAUGCUUGGGUUGAGGGCCAGGUCCCCAGUGGGGGUGCUCAAGAGGCAACUACAUAUUGAUGUUACUCUCCCUCUCUUUCUCCCUCCCUUCCCCUUUAUAAAAAAUAAAUAAAACCUUUAAAUUCAAGGUAGAUAAAAGACUUAAAUAUAAGUUGUGACACCAUAAAAGUCCUAGAGGAGAACAUAGGAGGAAAAUCUCAGAUAUUCCACACAACAAUAUUUUCACUGAUACAUCCUCUAGAACAUAAAGAAAAGAAUAAACAAAUGGGAUCUUCUCAAAAUAAAAAACUUCUACAUGGCUAAAGAAAACAGCAUUAAAAUGAAGAGAACCAACUGUAUGGGAAAACAUAUUUGCCAAGGAUACCUUGAACAAGGGUUUGAUCUCCAAAAUAUAUAGAGAACUCACACGACUCCACUCCAGGAAGACAAACAACCCAAUUAAAAAAUAGGCAAAGGACUUCAACAGACACUUUUCUAAAGAGGACAUGCAGAAGGCCCAGAGACAUAUGAAAAGGUGCUCACUGUCACUUACCAUCAGAGAGAUGCAAAUUAAAACCACAAUGAGAUACCACUUUACACCACUGAGAAUGGCCAUCAUAAAAGAAUCAACGAACAACAAGUGUUGGAGAAGAUGUGGAAAAAAGGAAACCCUAGUGCUCUGUUGGUGACAAUGCAGACUGGUAUAGGCACUGUGGAAACAGUAUGGAAUUUCCUCAGAAAACUAAAAACGGAACUGCCUUUUGACCCAACAAAUCUACUGCUGGGAUUAUACCCUAAGAACCCUGAGACCCCAAUCCAAAAGAACCUGUGCUCCCCAAUAUUCAUAGCAGCAUGAUUUACAAUAGCCAAGUGCUGGAAGCAUCCUAAGUGUCCAUCAGUAAAUGAGUGGAUCCAAAAACUGUGGUACAUUUAUAUAAUGGAAUACUAUGCAAAAGAUACAAAGAAAGAGCUCCUACCCUUUACAACAGCAUGGGUAGAACUGGAGAGCAUUAUGCUAAGUGAAAUAAGCCAGGCAGUGAAAGACAAAUACCAUAUGACCUCACCUCUAAGUGGAACCUAAUCAACAAAACAAGCAAGCAAGCAAAAUAUAACCAGAGAGAGUGAAAUGAAGAACAAACUGGUAGUAACCAGAGAGGAGCGGGGAAGGGAUAAUGGGUGAAAAAGGGGGGAGGGUUUUCAAGAACAUCUAUAAAGGACACAUGGACA